rnacentral:lncRNA from 1 species
CUCUUCUAAAGUACAUUUUUACUCAUGUUGAUUCUUACUAAUUUUCAAAAUGUCAAAUAUAAUACAAAUUUUAAAUCCGGAGUUUGACAAUGCUGACCAACGACAUACUGGCAAUGAAGUCCGAGUUGAUAUAGGCAAUGAUAGCUCUAGACCAAGAACAAGAAAGGAGGAUGGACCAGUAAUAAGUGACCACAUUGAUAAAUGGAAUUUAUACCAAGCAUUGUUUGUGGAAUUUCUUGGUACAACAAUAUACGAAUUU